UAACGUUAUUGAUUAUACACCAGAUUUCUUUUCUAAAAUCCAAAAAGUUUUGAGUUCUAAAACACAUCUGGCACCAAGGGCUUGGGCUUCGGGUCUGUGGAUGCGUCAUUGUUCACAGACUCUGUCCCAGGAGGAGACCUUGCUGCUGUGGCACCUGCUAUCUUCUAGGACAAAGACUCAGGCUGCACAGUCUCUGCUUAUUGUGAAGAACUUUUUUAUUUUGCAUCUCAGGUAACCAACCAGCACUUGAUGAUGCAAAGAGGAUGCUGCGUCUUUUGCUUCCUGUUUACCUGGGAGGAGGUGUGAAAUGAAGUGCUAACGGCAGGGCACUGGAGAAAGUUUCAGUGGUAAUGUAAGUGCAAACUCAGAUGGUGGAAAGGCAGAGCGAGCUUUUUGUGUUAUAGAUUCCUCCUCCCUCAAGAUUUAACUGGACUGUGUUAUCAAUAUUACAUAUAGUU
rnacentral:lncRNA from 1 species